AGGAUGAUACUGCGUUUGAAAAGCAAAGUGCCCUUUUUGCUCUUGCUGUUUCAGAUAUAAUGCUAAUCAAUAUGUCAUGAUGCGAUUAUUUAGUCCACGUAAAACAACAUUAAUGUUUGUAAUACGAGACAAAACAAGGACGCCGUUGGAAAACUUGGAACCUGUUUUGAGGGAAGAUAUUCAGAAGGUAAUGUUGGAACCUAUUUUGAGGGAAGAUAUUCAGAAGGUAAUGUUCUUGGCUUUUGAUACAGAGGCUACUGGAGAGAUGCGAUGGUGUUUCAAGCAAGGAACA